GUAACUUCUCUGUUCUCUUCCUGGUUUCUUCUCUGUGUAUCAUGAGCCAAAUUUAUCCCGUUGUCAAUGCAUAUUGGUGGCUGAGGAUAACAAGCCAUUCUUGUUCAAAUGGGUAUUCCAGUAGUUCUUCACCUCGUUAUCAGUUCGACCAGGAAGCCGACCAGCAAUCAAUGACCAUCUGAUUCAAGAAGUAACACGUUGAAAAUAUCCAAACAUUCAGCAAGUUGUCUCUCUUCACUGUUGGUGACAAUACAUUUACAGGAUGCAAUGAUGACAACUAUGAUUGGAUUCUUCCUAUAUAUGACAGCAAAAUGGGCACCCAGCACUGUCAAAUAUUACUCGCAGAAUGUUGAAAUGGUGGGUCACGCAUGCAUCAUCAUUGCUCUCUUUGCGCUGGCAGAUUGACGUGCGGGCCCUGGUUUGCUAAAAGCGUAUCUGCCUGCUUCUCAAUCAAGACAGGUGAAGUGGAGGGAGGAAGGUACUGUAGGUACUCUACCUGGAGGCUUAAGUAUUUAGCAAGCGUUCAUGAGUGAGGCACUCGGAGAACAACAAUGCAGCAGCAGCAGCAGCAGCUUUUGUUGGGGAAAGCAAGCAGGCGAUUGGGUACAAGUUUGAAAAGAGAAAUAAUUGAAGUUUUCUGUGUGUCAUUGGGGCAGGCAUUGGCUGCAACAGGGCGCUAUUGUAAAGAUUCCACAUCCAUUCACCUACACUGUGCCUGCCCUCAUCACUCUCAGCUUUUUCCUUUUGCAUAUCUGCCUGUCUCAUGCUUCUCCACCAGGUACACGCACACUCCCUCCCUACACACCCGUUUCACUAUUUCCACUUAUCUUUCUCGUUUCGAAAUUGUCUGUUUUUUACUUCGUUUUUUUGUCCCUUAUUUGAAAGAGGGGGAAGGGAUUUUGUUAACUAUUUCUUGUUUAUGGUUAUUUUCUUUUCAAAUUUGUGUCUAAAAGUCCUAAAUUUUAAAUUUACUAUCGGUUGUGUUCAAAAGGUUCUCUUUUAACUUUUAAAAUGUCUAACACUUUCUUAAACUUUUAGUUUUGUGUAGUUUGGUGAGUAUGUGAAGGAUCUACUCCGUUCUUGCUUUUUAGUUUUUGUUUUUGUUUUUGUGGUAAGAAAUAAAGUGUCACAAUGAUUUGGUCUCUGUCUAUUUCUACUAAUUUCUACUAAUUUCUAUAUCUCUAUCUCAUACUCUUUUUCAGUUUAAGUGCAUUUUAUAAAAGCAAGGCCAUGUAAAAAUUGAUUUCCAUUUAAAAUAAUAAAAAAAAAAUCGCUUUUUCUUG